GGUUAAAUAACAUAAUGGUAUUGUAUUAAAUUGCAAAUUUAAAUAUUAUUGGUUCAAAUCCAAUUUUAACUU
rnacentral:tRNA from 1 species